rnacentral:rRNA from 1 species
CCUACGGGAGGCAGCAGUGGGGAAUAUUGGGCAAUGGGGGCAAGCCUGACCCAGCAACGCCGCGUGAAGGAAGAAGGCUUUCGGGUUGUAAACUUCUUUUCUGAGGGACGAAGAAAGUGACGGUACCUCAGGAAUAAGCCACGGCUAACUACGUGCCAGCAGCCGCGGUAAUACGUAGGGGGCAAGCGUUAUCCGGAUUUAUUGGGUGUAAAGGGGGUGUAGGCGGGAAUGCAAGUCAGAUGUGAAAACUCAGGGCUCAACCCUUAGACUGCUUUUGAAACUGUUUGGCUUGAGUGCUGGAGAGGCAAGCGGAAUUCCGAGUGUAGCGGUGAAAUGCGUAGAUAUACGGAGGAACACCAGUGGCGAAGGCGGAUUGCUGGACUGUAACUGACGUUGAGGCGCGAAAGCGUGGGGAGCAAACAGGAUUAGAUACCCUUGUAGUC